UCCUUAUCAUUGAGGAGAGUCUCAGCCUUCUCUCCUGAGGCUGCUGGGAGCGUCACUGUGCACGAUACAAUCGGGGUAAUGUGAUAGAUUUUGUUGAGUGAUCGGAGAGUUGUGAUUGGAUGUGUGCUGAGCCUUGUCCCCUCUUCUCCUCUCCCCUGCAGGAAUGACGUGCCAGGCCCGCAGCUCCUACCUGGUGGACGAGGUGCAGUGGGGUCAUCGCUUCAUGUCUGUGCUCUCGCUGGAGGAUGGAUUCUACGAGGUGGACUACAACAGCUUCCACCAGACCUUCGAGGUCCCUACCCCGCUCUGCAGUGCCCGAGAGGUGGCCGAGACCGCCGCCAGAAUGGACGCUCACCUCUACUGGUCCAUCCCCAGCCAACUGGAUGAGAAGGUGGAGGAGGAGGGGACUGAGAAACAGGACAAGCAGAGGAACGGCAGCAUCACCAGUCCCGAGAGCGAGCCGGCGCCGUCCGAAUGACACAGUCCAUAGGGACUGACCUCUCCAUGGAUGGACACUAGACCUGGGGACUGACCACUCAGCGGAUGGACACUAGACCUGGGGACUGACCUCUCCAUGGAUGGACACUAGACCUGGGGACUGACCACUCUCCAUGGAUGGACACUAGACCUGGGGACUGACCACUCUCCAUGGAUGGACACUAGACCUGGGGACUGACCACUCUGCGGAUGGACACUAGACCUGGGGACUGACCUCUCUCCAUGGAUGGACACUAGACCUGGUCACUGGGGACUGACCUCUCUCCAUGGAUGGACACUAGACCUGGGGACUGACCUCUCUCCAUGGAUGGACACUAGACCUGGGGACUGACCUCUCUCCAUGGAUGGACACUAGACCUGGGGACUGACCUUUCUCCAUGGAUAGACACUAGACCUGGGGACUGACCACUCUCCAUGGAUGGACACUAGACCUGGGGACUGACCACUCUCCAUGGAUGGACACUAGACCUGGGGACUGACCACUCUGCGGAUGGACACUAGACCUGGGGACUGACCUCUCUCCAUGGAUGGACACUAGACCUGGUCACUGGGGACUGACCUCUCUCCAUGGAUGGACACUAGACCUGGGGACUGACCUCUCUCCAUGGAUGGACACUAGACCUGGGGACUGACCUCUCCAUGGAUGGACACUAGACCUGGGGACUGACCUCUCCAUGGAUGGACACUAGACCUGGUCACUGACCUCUCUCCAUGGAUGGACACUAGACCUGGUCACUGACCUCUCUCCAUGGAUGGACACUAGAUCUGGUCACUGACCUCUCUCUAUGGAUGGACACUAGACCUGGGGACUGACCUCUCCAUGGAUGGACACUAGACCUGGGGACUGACCACUCUCCAUGGAUGGACACUAGACCUGGGGACUGACCACUCUGCGGAUGGACACUAGACCUGGGGACUGACCUCUCUCCAUGGAUGGACACUAGACCUGGGGACUGACCUCUCUCCAUGGAUGGACACUAGACCUGGGGACUGACCUCUCUCCAUGGAUGGACACUAGACCUGGUCACUGACCUCUCUCCAUGGAUGGACACUAGACCUGGGGACUGACCUCUCCAUGGAUGGACACUAGACCUGGUCACUGACCUCUCCAUGGAUGGACACUAGACCUGGUCACUGACCUCUCUCCAUGGAUGGACACUAGACCUGGUCACUGACCUCUCCAUGGAUGGACACUAGACCUGGUCACUGGGGACUGACCACUCUCCAUGGAUGGACACUAGACCCGGUCACUGGGGACUGACCACAUUACUCAGACAUGGUAGCCAAUGCCUGAUGGCCGAUGCAAUAAAAAUACAUUUUCAGUUUA